rnacentral:rRNA from 1 species
CCUACGGGAGGCAGCAGUGGGGAAUAUUGGACAAUGGGCGAAAGCCUGAUCCAGCAAUGCCGCGUGAGUGAUGAAGGCCUUAGGGUCGUAAAGCUCUUUUACCAGGGAUGAUAAUGACAGUACCUGGAGAAUAAGCUCCGGCUAACUCCGUGCCAGCAGCCGCGGUAAUACGGAGGGAGCUAGCGUUGUUCGGAAUUACUGGGCGUAAAGCGUGCGUAGGCGGUUAUUCAAGUCAGAGGUGAAAGCCCGGGGCUCAACCCCGGAACGGCCUUUGAAACUAGAUAACUAGAAUCUUGGAGAGGUCAGUGGAAUUCCGAGUGUAGAGGUGAAAUUCGUAGAUAUUCGGAAGAACACCAGUGGCGAAGGCGACUGACUGGACAAGUAUUGACGCUGAGGUACGAAAGCGUGGGGAGCAAACAGGAUUAGAUACCCUGGUAGUCCACGCCGUAAACGAUGAUAACUAGCUGUCCGGACACUUGGUNUUUGGGUGGCCGNNGCUACGCAUUAGUUAUACGUCCGUGGGAGGUACGGUCGCGAGAGUUAAACGUUAAACGGUAAAGUUAGUACGGCGUAAGUAGACGUUGCGACGGACGACGACGAGGGAGGAGG